GACGAACGCUGGCGGCGUGCCUAAUACAUGCAAGUCGAGCGCAGGAAACUGACGGAACUCUUCGGAGGGAAGGCAGCGGAAUGAGCGGCGGACGGGUGAGUAACACGUAAGGAACCUGCCUCAAGGAUUGGGAUAACUCCGAGAAAUCGGAGCUAAUACCGGAUAGUUCAACGGACCGCAUGGUCCGCUGAUGAAAGGCGCUUCGGCGUCACCUUGAGAUGGCCUUGCGGUGCAUUAGCUAGUUGGUGGGGUAACGGCCCACCAAGGCGACGAUGGAUAGCCGACCUGAGAGGGUGAGCGGCCACACUGGGAGUGAGACACGGCCCAGACUCCUACGGGAGGCAGCAGUAGGGAAUCUUCCACAAUGGACGAAAGUCUGAUGGAGCAACGCCGCGUGAGUGAUGAAGGUUUUCGGAUCGUAAAACUCUGUUGUAAGGGAAGAACACGUACGAGAGGAAAUGCUCGUACCUUGACGGUACCUUACGAGAAAGCCACGGCUAACUACGUGCCAGCAGCCGCGGUAACAC
rnacentral:rRNA from 1 species